rnacentral:tRNA from 1 species
GGGGUUGUGGCUCAGUAGUAGAGUGCUUGUCUGACACAUAUGAGGCACUGAAUUUGAUUCUCAGCACCA